rnacentral:rRNA from 1 species
AUGGAGUGGCGAAUUCUCCCAACUAGUACGCUGCUGGGGCUGCGUGAAUCUCUCUCGGCCGAGAUUGGCACGAUGAUGCAUGGGCUCAUCUGGUGGCAAAACUGGAUGUAUGACCAAAUUGUGGUGCUCGACACGUCCACUUUUCAGUUCUCUCUAAUCGAUGUGCCGAAGCAAUUGGAGACGGAGUGGGAUGAAUCAACGUAUAAGCUUGGAGAGACCAAGGAUGAGAAGCUGUGCAUCGUAGAUAUAAAGGACAACACACUUGUUUCUUGGUUCCUGGCAUCCGAUGAUGACAUUGCCUUCAGCAGGUGGAUGAUGUACAAGGAGUUCCCAUUGAACCCAAUUGUUAAGGAGUUCACCGGGUUCUUGAUGGAGGAAGAGGGUUGUAAUGCCAGGGUGGAGCUUGUGGAGGUCAUCGAUGGCUUUGUAUACCUGUCUAUUUUCUAUGUCAAGGACACACAGUCUCGUGAGUUGUACCUAUCAUUAUGCCUGGAAACAUCGGAAAUGAGCGAGCUCUUUCAUGAUGCAUAUCGUGAUAAUGUGGAGGUCCAUCCUUAUGUCAUGGCAUGGCCUCCCUCUUUGUUGCCAAGCAAGGAGGAUUCAGAAACUGAAGUUACUGGAGACAGGGUUGCAGAUGAUGGUCCCGUGGGCACAGAAGAAGCUUCCUCUAUCCUUGUCACUGCACUGCACUCACUCAGCCAAGCUCUGAUGGAUGGCAGUGACAGUAACAAAGAAUUACUGGUGGAGUUACAUGACUUCUUGCUUGACAGUACUAAUGAAACAGCGGUGGAGUUAGCUGCCUUUUUGCGUCCUACUGAGGAUGACAAGGACUCUCUUAUGAGCAAAAUCAUUACUUUGGAUGCACAAUUAAUGACCGCAAGAGACCGUAUCUUGAGGAUAAGUGUGUGA